rnacentral:rRNA from 1 species
AAGCGUUUAUGACCAGACUUGGGCUUGGUUAAUCAUCUGGGGUUCUCCCCAGUGCACUUUUCCAGUCCAGGCCAGCAUCAGUUUUCCCCGGGGGAUAAAGGCGGCGGGAAUGUGGCUCUCUUCGGGGAGUGUUAUAGCCUGUUGCAUAAUACCC